CGCUCCGAAGGAGACCUUCCACGUUUGGCAAAAAGAACAGGGGACAAAACAAAACAAAACAUCUCCCUAGCUCCCAACAAAGUCAGAGAUGAAAGCAGACGGUUUUAGCAUGGCAAAUAGGAAAAUAAACAAGUGCUUGAAAUGGGACUUUUUUUUUUUUUCAACUGUGGGCUGAGAAUCCUCUCUGAGCUCAAGAGGACAACAAAAUCCCUCACAGCUGACUUGCCUGGGAGUCCACAGGCUUCACGACUGCAAAUCCUCCGGAGUCUAAGCAAGUCAGGUGCAACAGAGCCACUGAGUCCAGCCUUUGCUGGCACUUGCCUUAGGCACAUGCUCUGUCGGUGAGCAGGACGUGCUGGCCCUGCAUUCCAGGGACACCACAGGGCAUACAGUGCAGCUCUGUGCUUGCCUUUUGCUUUUUCUCCUGUAAAUCUCCUUAACUACCCAAACUCAGAAGGCAACCAAAUACGGGGUUUAGAGAAGGCAUGGUGGCAAGAGAUUGUCUUUAAAUGCAGCUGCUGAUACUGGGCUUCAUGGAGAAGUUGAGGGCUUGCCAGCCAGCCUGAGAGCCUCUCAAGCAUUCACCCUCCCCAUGGCCUCCAAGUGACCUUAUCAUUUGGUGACAGGUAUUUAGGGGAUACUCCUGGUGAUGACACUAGACAUCCUGGGACCAUCAAGGCAGUAGUAAUGUUGGGAUAUAAAGUACCCUUAAUGUAGUGAACUUAAAAAGAACUCAGAAUCCCGAGAAAUGGCAUAUGCUGAUUCCUAAUCUGUCCGGCAUGAGCCUACGGCUCCCCAUCCCUACUGCUACUGGCUGCUUCUCUGGCCAAGACUACUGGUCAACCUCUUCUUACUGGCCAAUCAUCCUGCCACCACUCUGACUUCUGUAGAAGCCAUCAUCUUCUCUGCAGCCUUCUGGAAGCACCAGUGUCACGGUAUGGCCACACCACUCCCUCUUUCAACGACUUCAGUAGUUCCUCGGCAGACAGAAGAAAACAUAACAAGUCCAGGGUCUGGAGCCCAGGUUUCCUGGCCCAGGCUCUGUGUUUACCCCACCUGCUCUGACUCAUGGCUCAGGCCAAUAUUAUGCCCAUUCCCAGACAGCUGGGGAAGUAGGGAGGAGUGGGCAAUGAAGGUAGGGAUGACACCGUCCAAAGGUGACAGACGCUGAUGACUCAGUUUGAGGUGAGGUGAGGAUCUUUUGUGUAAGGACUUUGUAUUUCUCACAAUCCACCUCUGGAUUGUAACCUGGGAAUCUCAAGAUCAUUCAAAUGACUAAGAAUGGAAUAACUAACUUUGGAUGAUACGCUUCACCCCAUUGGUGUUUUGGAACUGCUUGAAACAAGGCAGGCUUAACUAAAAUCAAAAAGUAAAAAAGCAAAAACUGAAAAGAGAAGACUUCUGGCCAAAGCUCCCAUGUUCCCCAGCAGACUGGGACCGGGCACUUCAGUUCUCCUGCUAAUGCUUCCAAACCCCUCUGCUCCCCCAAGGACUGCAGCUCUGCACUAAGGCUCCCAUGCAGCCCUCAUGACCUCCUCUGUUCCCACUUGGAAACCAAGCUUCAGGACUCCCGGGUGGCUCAGCAGUUAAGCAUCCAAUGCUUGAUCUCGGCAGGAUCUUGAUUGUGAAUUAAAGCCCUACAUUAGUCUCUAUGCCGGGCAUGGAGCCUACUAAAAAAAAAAAAAAAAAAAAAAAAAAAAAAAAAAAAGAAAGAAAGAAAGAGAAAAGAAGCUUCUAUUUUUUGUGUUUCCGAUCUCUCUUGUCAUAGGAACUUGUGUUUUUAGUUCCUCCCUCAGGGUCAUAGCACACAGCUCCAUGGUAUUCCCACAGGAUUGACCCUGGUUUCUUCUGUUGACCUGGCACACAGCCCCCGCUCACUUCUGUUCUCCCCAGGGCCUCAUUACCUUCGAAGGACACUCCCUGGGUGGCAUCUUGUUGCUCUUGCUCGCUUUCUUACCUACUAAGUAUCGCACAGGGGACAGAAAGACAAAGGGGCUGGCAAUUUCCACCUGGUGGGCUCUGUGUUUAACAAGGGAGCCUGUACACACAGGCAGUUAUGAGUGUGCAGGGUGUUUGUGGGUGGUUCUAAAAAGCGCUUCUACAUCAGCUGUGAUUUGUUUGAACUCUCUCCAUUUCCGGGGGUCAGUGCUGGUCCUGCAGAUGAACAGGGAAAGAUCCUGCUCUGGCGCAGUGUGAAGAGACAGCGGCAAUGCACCUGAACAAAUAGAUCCCGUGGCACUGCUAAAGCUUCGUUUCAGAGUCACCCUUUCUUGACAAGCUGUCUCAUCACUGUAAAACUUUUGUUUUAUGGUUUUGACUUUUUAGUUCAAGACCAAACCUAUGAUUUAGGUAAGCAUCGACUGGCAGGCAGCUUAUAGUUUAAGCUAUAGUUUAAAUUUUCGGUAUUCAGAAUCAGCUCUCAAAUCAACCCUCUUACUGAAUUACAAUCUUUAUAUCUCACUUAUUAAAAAUAAAAAUUUAUAAAAGUGGA